AGGGGGGGGAAUUUGAGAAAGAGUAGUCCUGAGAUGUCCUAUAAAAUGUACAUUCCUUUGAUGGAAAACUUUAUAAUGCAGAAAAACCUCAAGAAAUAGUGCUUGAAACCAUUUUAUGCUAUUAGUGAAUGUUUCUACGUGAUGCAUGUAAUCAGCCUGUCUCUUUUGCCUGGAUAGGGAGUAUUUGCAGUCGUGUUGCUCAUGAAAAGUGGGGUUGGCAUCACUGUUCUCCAGUUUCUCCUCCCUCCUCAGGUCAGUGUUAUUGUUAAAGAAAAGCAAUCAAACCACGUUGCUCUCUGUGCCAAUCUUCAGUUGUGUUAUUUUUCCUUUUGGUGGCUGCUUGGCUGUAUCCCUUCACCCCACCAACGAAUCCAAAAACUGCGGUGGAGAUCUCCUCCUGCCCUGCAUAAGCACGGGCAAUCUUUUGUUGGAGGGUGCCUUUUUUUGUACUAAAUGUUACAAGUUUUAUUCCUGAGAUGGACUCUGCCUUACACUUUGAUUUUCCAGCAGAUGAAAGAGAGAGCUAUCCUGUAGAGUAUUACUUUCUCCCCCUCUCCUUGCUAGCUGUCACUCACUUUCUUCCUUCUUUGUAAAGUGAUUGGAAAAGGAAUCUAUGGCAUUCUACACCUGGACCAUUUGAUUGUUUCCUUAUUUUGGAAUUGGUGUAUAUCAUGCAGCCUUGCAGACAUAUGUCUUGUGUGUGUAUAUAUAUUAAAAAAAAAAUCAGUGUUUAAAUAAAAAAGGCCUAUGUACUUAAUCCUUUAACUCUGCAGCAGCAUUUGGUAGAUAGUAAUUAACUGUGAAUAAUAAAUAUACAUUGAAUUCUUCACUUGAGCAUCUGUCUGUUAUUUCAGCUGACCAAAAUAUAGCUGGUCGAGGUAAUUUAUAAGUGCUCAGCCUCUGUAGCAUCGCGGUUAGAUCUCAGCACGCCUAGCCAAAGUCAUGUUGCUCUUUCAAUCUGUCAACCAAGAAACUUAACCACAUGCGCUGGUGUGAAUAGCGGAGGGGGGAGAGGAGCAAUCAGGUCGCUGUCAGAAUGGCAAACAGUAUCUAUUAGUGGAGCGGGAGGGUGGCACUUGAGCCUUUCUUCCUCUGCUUUUUUUCUCAGCUCUUUUCGUAACCACUCGAGCGGCCCUGUGGUGCUGACUCUAACGCAGUAAGGAGCCAGUACUGGAGGGCGAUACGCUGGUUAUUUCUGGAGCGUCUGCUAAAGGACAGAGGGAAAGAUGAGCAUUUGACUUGUGCAACACCAGCACCUCCAGCUCAGACCGUCGCAGAAGCUUUGGCUCUGCGUGGUCAGUGCCUGACAGCUCAUUUUUAAUUUUCUUGCCUAAAGAAAUGGAAGAGAUGGGCUGUGCUAACGAGGGCUGUGGGUGGCUCUGCAGGUCGCUUCAAAAGCUGCUCCCUUGGCUCUGCCGCUUCUCGCCAGCCUUCUCUUACAGGCAGACAACGCCUCUGCCUUUUGUAGUGGGUUUUACCGUACAAUAGGAAGAGGCCCACUGACAUAACAGGCCUUUAGUGGUUACUCCUAGUUCUGAUCAAAUACAGAUAGUAGUCAAGGAGUGAAGCAGAAACGCUGGCGUCUGCCCGUUACUAAUUUUCAUUUGCACCAGUGAAGUCAGUACAGAAAUUACUCACAGUAUGGCUUGAAGUUUUGGGCACUUUUUUACAAUGCUGUAGCAGGACAUGCUCGGGAGUGUGUUAAUUCGUACCUUAAGAAGUUUGGCAAAACUUUUGUGCUUUAUGAAGAGAAGCAACGUGCCUGCUGCUGUGAUGGUAGAUUCUGGUUAAGGAACCAUAAGCUCUGCACUUAGUGGCUCUGCUCAGCCCUGCUGUUCCCCUCACCCCACCUCCCCAGCACCCCAGGGGCGCUGCUCGCCCUCCCUCAGCCCCGCGGCGCCUUCGUUUCCCGACCCCCGUGCAGCGGGAGGGGGCGGCGGGGCCCCGUC
rnacentral:lncRNA from 1 species